rnacentral:tmRNA from 2 species
AAUGGUUUCGACGGGGGCAAGUUGCUCCUGGGAAGCGAGUCGAAGGGAUCCUGUACCUGCGUUAAAAAACUGGGAAUUUAAAUAUAAUUGCAAACGAUAAUUUUGCAUUAGCUGCCUAAUAGUUGCAGCUCGUCAGCCUAAGAGUCCCACGACUUAGGGUCUGGCGUCGACAGUGGGGAACCGAGCCUUACAAAGCUUUGAGUAAGGAACGGAAUUAAUGAAGCUACUGAAUCUAAGAGCCUGUUUAUCGGCGCUUAGAGGAGGGAAUGUAAAAGGAUAAACUGCACUCGGAGAUGCCCAGGGGUUGCUGCUUUCGGACAGGGGUUCGAUUCA